UCUCUUAUGAGCUACGCUCCAUGUUGUUAGUGUUGAUCCUGGUACCAUGUGCAUCACAAUAAGUGGAACCGAUGUUUAGUGGCAGUAAAAUUAAGGAAACAAACUUUGAUUCACGAAAAUUAUAAUCGAAUAAUUUUUGUAACUGAUUUGAG